rnacentral:rRNA from 1 species
AACGAAGUUAGGAAGCUUGCUUCUGAUACUUAGUGGCGGACGGGUGAGUAAUGCUUAGGAAUCUGCCUAGUAGUGGGGGAUAACUUGGGGAAACCCAAGCUAAUACCGCAUACGACCUACGGGUGAAAGGGGGCUUUUAGCUCUCGCUAUUAGAUGAGCCUAAGUCGGAUUAGCUGGUUGGUGGGGUAAAGGCCUACCAAGGCGACGAUCUGUAGCUGGUCUGAGAGGAUGAUCAGCCACACUGGGACUGAGACACGGCCCAGACUCCUACGGGAGGCAGCAGUGGGGAAUAUUGGACAAUGGGCGAAAGCUGAUCCAGCCAUGCCGCGUGUGUGAAGAAGGCCUUUUGGUUGUAAAGCACUUUAAGUGGGGAGGAAAAGCUUAUGGUUAAUACCCAUAAGCCCUGACGUUACCCACAGAAUAAGCACCGGCUAACUCUGUGCCAGCAGCCGCGGUAAUACAGAGGGUGCAAGCGUUAAUCGGAAUUACUGGGCGUAAAGCGCGCGUAGGUGGUUAUUUAAGUCAGAUGUGAAAGCCCCGGGCUUAACCUGGGAACUGCAUCUGAUACUGGAUAACUAGAGUAGGUGAGAGGGGAGUAGAAUUCCAGGUGUAGCGGUGAAAUGCGUAGAGAUCUGGAGGAAUACCGAUGGCGAAGGCAGCUCCCUGGCAUCAUACUGACACUGAGGUGCGAAAGCGUGGGUAGCAAACAGGAUUAGAUACCCUGGUAGUCCACGCCGUAAACGAUGUCUACCAGUCGUUGGGUCUUUUAAAGACUUAGUGACGCAGUUAACGC